UUUCCCGGUUGAUCCCGCCGGACCUGACUGCUAUCGGAUUGGUACUAAGCCAUGUGAGUCAUUGUAGUAAUACAAGGCAGACGGCUCAGUAACACGUAGCCAACCUACCCUAUGGACGGGGAUAACCUCGGGAAACUGAGGAUAAACCCCGAUAGAUCAUAAUGCCUGGAACGGUUUAUGGUCCAAAUGAUUCGUCGCCGUAGGAUGGGACUGCGGCCUAUCAGCUUGUUGGUGAGGUAAUGGCCCACCAAGGCUAUUACAGGUACGGGCUCUGAGAGGAGAAGCCCGGAGAUGGGUACUGAGACACGGACCCAGGCCCUAUGGGGCGCAGCAGGCGAGAAACCUUUGCAAUGUGCGCAAGCACGACAAGGUUAAUCCGAGUGUUUCCUGCUAAAGGAAUCUUUUGUUAGUCCUAAAAACACUAGCGAAUAAGGGGUGGGCAAGUUCUGGUGUCAGCCGCCGCGGUAAAACCAGCACCUCAAGUGGUCAGGAGGAUUAUUGGGCCUAAAGCAUCCGUAGCCUGCUCUGUAAGUUUCCGGUUAAAUCCAUUAGCUCAACUGAUGGGCCGCCGGAAAAACUGCAGAGCUAGGGAGUGGGAGAGGUAGACGGUACUCGGUAGGAAGGGGUAAAAUCCUUUGAUCUAUUGAUGACCACCUGUGGCGAAGGCGGUCUACCAGAACACGUUCGACGGUGAGGGAUGAAAGCUGGGGGAGCAAACCGGAUUAGAUACCCGGGUAGUCCCAGCUGUAAACGAUGCAGACUCGGUGAUGCCCUGGCUUGUGGCCAGUGCAGUGCCGCAGGGAAGCCGUUAAGUUUGCCGCCUGGGAAGUACGUACGCAAGUAUGAAACUUAAAGGAAUUGGCGGGGGAGCACCACAAGGGGUGAAGCCUGCGGUUCAAUUGGAUUCAACGCCGGA
rnacentral:rRNA from 1 species